rnacentral:rRNA from 7 species
UCUAGUAGCUGGUUCCCUCCGAAGUUUCCCUCAGGAUAGCUGGUGCAUUAUAAUAUUAUGUUAAAUAAUCUUAUCUGGUAAAGCGAAUGAUUAGAGGCCUUAGGGUCGAAACGACCUUAACCUAUUCUCAAACUUUAAAUGGGUAAGAACCUCACCUUUCUUGAUAUGAAGGUUGAGGUUAUGAUAUAAUGUGCCCAGUGGGCCACUUUUGGUAAGCAGAACUGGCGCUGUGGGAUGAACCAAACGUAAUGUUACGGUGCCUAAAUUAACAACUCAUGCAGAUACCAUGAAAGGCGUUGGUUGCUUAAAACAGCAGGACGGUGGACAUGGAAGUCGUAAUCCGCUAAGGAGUGUGUAACAACUCACCUGCCGAAGCAACUAGCCCUUAAAAUGGAUGGCGCUUAAGUUGUAUACCUAUACAUUACCGCUAAAGUAGAUGAUUUAUAAUACAAUUUCGAUUGAAUUAUAAAUUUUGAAACUUUAGUGAGUAGGAGGGUACAAUGGUGUGCUUAGAAGUGUUUGGCGUAAGCCUGCAUGGAGCCGCUAUUGGUACAGAUCUUGGUGGUAGUAGCAAAUAAUCGAAUGAGACCUUGGAGGACUGAAGUGGAGAAGGGUUUCGUGUGAACAGUGGUUGAUCACGAGUUAGUCGGUCCUAAGUUCAAGGCGAAAGCCGAAAAUUUUCAAGUUUUAAUGC